rnacentral:rRNA from 12 species
CCGAUAGUGAACGAGUACCGUGAGGGAAAGGUGAAAAGUACCGUGAAUAACGGGGUGAAAAGAACCUGAAACCGUGCGCCUACAAGCGGUCGGAGUGCUGAUUUAUCAGUAUGACGGCGUGCCUUUUGCAUAAUGAGCCUACGAGUUACACCUCACCGGCAAGGUUAAUUCCGUUUACGGGAGGAGCCGCAGCGAAAGCGAGUCUGAACAGGGCGCUUUAGUCGGUGGGGGUAGACGCGAAACUUAGUGAUCUA